AGGCUGGUGCAAAAGUAAUUGCGGUUUUUGCCAUUACUUUUAAUGACAAAAACUGCAAUUACUUUUGCACC
rnacentral:miRNA from 10 species